UACGUAGGGGGCUAGCGUUGUCCGGAAUCAUUGGGCGUAAAGAGCGUGUAGGCGGUUCGGUAAGUCUGCCGUGAAAACCUGGGGCUCAACCCCAGGCGUGCGGUGGAUACUGCCGGGCUAGAGGGUGGUAGAGGCGAGUGGAAUUCCCGGUGUAGCGGUGAAAUGCGCAGAUAUCAGGAGGAACACCAGCGGCGAAAGGCGGCGCUCUGGGGCUGGAAACUGACGCUGAGGAGCGAAAAGCGUGGGGGAGCGAACAGG
rnacentral:rRNA from 1 species